AGGAGAGCCAACAGCAGCAACGUCGAAGCGCGCACGGGGUAACAGCCCUCAAACAGGGGAGGCCGGUGGUUCUCGGACCGCGAGGGGCAGCCUCCCUUCCGGAACUUGUUUUAGACAACAAGCUCUCCACCACAGCUCCGACCCUCCCCACCAAACUUCCGCAAUCCUGAGCCCCUCUAGGUUCUGGUCUCGCCUCUGCUCCGGGGACUUCCGAUUUCGUCAUCAGCACGCGCACCCAGUCACCAGACUCCCUUCUCUAGCCACAGCGCAGGCCCUCCCUAGGCCGGGUGAAGUAGCCUGGAAGCCAAUCGAGCCCUGGCGGAAGUUGGGCUAGGCGCAGGCGCACUGAGGCUCUGGCCUAGGCGCGGGGCGGCAGCCUGGCGGACCUAGGAGAGCGCAAGCGCGGAAGCACAGAGCCGGGUUUUGUUGUUGUUUGUUUGUUUGUUCCCCACCUCCGGGGACGUCUUUUACUUUGAGAUGAAUUAUUGGCCCUGGCUCCCUUCCCUCCUCAUCCACAUGCCUCGUUGCCUCGUAGCAUUUGAGUGAAAAAGUCACCCGUUUCCAAGACCCGCCGACUGGGGGCUUUGGGCCUGUGACUGCGCCUUUUUCACUCCAUGUCCUCUGUGGAAUGGGGGCGAUCACCGUCCUCGUCUCGGUGGUGAAUAAUUCAGGAGGGAGUGCGCGGUGAGGCGGCCGCACAGCGAUGCACUAGCAGUCAGGCCGCGGGCGGGUCGGUGCUCGUUCCUGCUUGUUCUUCCCACGCCACACGGCAUCUUCCAAAUGACUGUGUGUUGGGAAGAUGAAUGUAAAUAAGGCGUGGACGGCCGCUGUCCUCGAGUAUAUGGUCUGAGAGGGAAGCACUUGUCCUGUAAAAUGGGCAUAUCAGAUAUUAUUUAUGCCAGUUAUGUUUACAAGAAAAUGGCUUGAGGAGGUUAAAUGCGUCAGAGAUUAGAGGCAGAACCAAGGAUAGUAUUGCCAAAUCUGUAUCAUCCAGGCUCAAAGCACAGAGCCCUCUCUCUGCCCUGCAUCUACCAGUCCGUCCUUCCCACUUGUGAAAUUGCCUUCGCAAAAUGAUGACUGAGACAGUGAAAGAGAUCUAACUUAACCAACUCCAUCUUACUUUUAACCUCCAAGCUGUCCUUGUACAUUCCUGGGCAUAGGCUGAACUAACUGUGGGAGAAACUGAGUUUAUAAUUUAAGCAAAGACGGGCCGGGCGCGGUGACUCAAGCCUGUAAUCCCAGCACUUUGGGAGGCAGAGGCGGGCGAUCACCUGAGGUCAGGAGUUCAAGACCAGCCUGGCCAACAUGGUGAAACCCCGUCUCUACUAAAAAUACAAAAAUUAGCUGGGCAUGGUGGUGCGUUCCUGUAAUCCCAGCUAUUCCGGAGGCUGAGGCAGGAGAAUUGCUUGAACCGGGACCCAGGAGGCAGAGGUUGCAGUGAGCUGAGAUCACACCACAGCACUCCAGCCUGGGCUACAGAGCGAAACUCUGUCUCAAAAUAAACAAACAAAAAUUAGCCAGGCAUGAUGGUGCCUACCUGUAAUUCUAGCUACUUGGGAGGCUGAAGCAGGAGAAUCACUUGAACCCAGGAGGCAGAGGUUGCAGUGAGCCAAGAUCACACCACUGCACUCCAGCCCGGGCAACAGAGUGAGAAUCGGUAAAAACAAACAAACAAACAAAAAACCCCUCUUUUAUCACCAGUAAUAAGCCACGUUGUUAUGAUGGAACCCCUGAUGUGGAGAAGGGCACAUUACCUCUGUGGUAUGCUUCCCAAACCUGUAACCUCAAUCUAAUCAUGAGAGAACAUCAGAAAAAUUCAUAUGGAGGAUUUUUCUACUUCUACAAAAUAACCAGUGCUCCUCAAAAAUGUCAAGGUCAUAAAAGACAAGGAAAGACUGAGGAACUGUCACAGAUUGAAGAGACUAAGAAGAUGACAACUAAAUGCAGUAUGGGAUUCUGGAUUGGAUCCUGAAACAGAAAAGGGCCAUGAGUUGAAAAACUGUUGUAAGAAUGAGAAUAAAGUCUGCAGUUUAGCUAAUAG